rnacentral:rRNA from 1 species
GACGAACCGUCCAAACGUUGUUCGGAUUCAUUGGGCGUAAAGGGUGCGUAGGCGGCGCGGUAAGUCGGGUGUGAAAUCUCGGGGCUUAACUCCGAAACUGCAUUCGAUACUGCCGUGCUUGAGGACUGGAGAGGAGACUGGAAUUUACGGUGUAGCGGUGAAAUGCGUAGAUAUCGUAAGGAAGACCAGUGGCGAAGGCGGGUCUCUGGACAGUUCCUGACGCUGAGGCACGAAGGCCAGGGGAGCAAACGGG